ACUAACAAGGAUUCCCCUAGUAACUGCGAGUGAAGCGGGAAAAGCUCAAAUUUAAAAUCUGGCGGUCUUUGGUCGUCCGAGUUGUAAUCUAGAGAAGUAAUGCCCGUGCUGGACCGUGUAUAAGUCUCCUGGGAUGGGGCGUCAUAGAGGGUGAGAAUCCCGUCUUUGACACGGACUACCAGUGCAUUGUGGUAUGCUCUCAAAGAGUCGAGUUGUUUGGGAAUGCAGCUCAAAAUGGGUGGUAAAUUCCAUCUAAAGCUAAAUAUUGGCGAGAGACCGAUAGCGAACAAGUACCGUGAGGGAAAGAUGAAAAGAACUUUGGAAAGAGAGUUAAACAGUACGUGAAAUUGCUGAAAGGGAAACGCUUGAAGUCAGUCGCGUUGGCCGGGGAUCAGCCUUGCUUUUGCAUGGUGUACUUUCUGGUUGACGGGUCAGCAUCAAUUUUGACCGCUGGAAAAGGGCCUGGGGAAUGUGGCAGCUUCGGCUGUGUUAUAGCCCCUGGUCACAUACGGCGGUUGGGAUUGAGGAACUCAGCACGCCGCAAGGCCGGGUUUCGACCACGUUCGUGCUUAGGAUGCUGGCAUAAUGGCUUUAAGCGACCCGUCUUGAAACACGGACCAAGGAGUCUAACAUGCCUGCGAGUAUUUGGGUGAAAAACCCGAGUGCGCAAUGAAAGUGAAAGUUGAGAUCCCUGUCGUGGGGAGCAUCGACGCCCGGACCAGAACUUUUGGGACGGAUCCGCGGUGGAGCAUGUAUGUUGGGACCCGAAAGAUGGUGAACUAUGCCUGAAUAGGGUGAAGCCAGAGGAAACUCUGGUGGAGGCUCGUAGCGAUUCUGACGUGCAAAUCGAUCGUCAAAUUUGGGUAUAGGGGCGAAAGACUAAUCG
rnacentral:rRNA from 1 species